rnacentral:rRNA from 1 species
GUGUCAGCAGCCGCGGUAAUACGUAGGGCGCAAGCGUUGUCCGGAAUUAUUGGGCGUAAAGAGCUCGUAGGCGGCUUGUCACGUCGGGUGUGAAAGCCCGGGGCUUAACCCCGGGUCUGCAUUCGAUACGGGCUAGCUAGAGUGUGGUAGGGGAGAUCGGAAUUCCUGGUGUAGCGGUGAAAUGCGCAGAUAUCAGGAGGAACACCGGUGGCGAAGGCGGAUCUCUGGGCCAUUACUGACGCUGAGGAGCGAAAGCGUGGGGAGCGAACAGGAUUAGAUACCCCCGUAGUCC